rnacentral:tRNA from 1 species
CUGGGGGAGGAGCUCAGUUGGCAGAGUGCUUGCCUGGAAUGCACAAGGCCCUGGGUUCAAUCCCCAGCAUAAGG